rnacentral:lncRNA from 1 species
GCAUGAUUCAAAUCUGUGAAAUUUUUCUCAAUUAAAAGUUUACCAAAAAAGUUAACUCGACAUUCAAUAUACAAUGGACAAUCAAACAUAAAAUGGAACUCAGUUUCAGUUUCUUGAUUUUUAUAAAAUAUACAUAGUCUUUCUUCUACACUUUCGUUUGAGUAUCUACCAGUUUCCACUCUUAAUGGUAAAAUUCCACUUCUAAAUUGCGCUAAGUGUGACCGCUCAAUUUUACUCAAGUUCAAAUUCACGUAAUUUUCAGUUUCAAAGACUGUUUUAAAGUUCCUAUAUGUUCGUAAUUUUGAAACUUCUUGGACGGAAUUCCUCCAGAUAUCUGAAUACAGACGAAAAAUGUUAGUUUCAACCAAAGAUAAAUCGACCUCUGAUUUCAGUUCGUAAAAAUGUCCUAGUUCAAGCUGGUCUAGUAUAUCCUUUACUUCACUACACCAAUUACUUUUACAACGAUCAUAGUCAAUAUUGAAUGCUAAUUUGGUGAUGCGGUUGUUGUCAAAUCGAAUGAGUCUAUUCCAGUAUCUCACCAUAUUGAUCCAACGCCGAUACUGACUCGGGAUCCAGCCGAUAUCUCCGUGUAUAGCAAGGAUAGGUGCAAAUCUGUGUACUCCUAAAUAGUAACGAAUAGCCCUGUUCUGAAUAUUGUCUAUUGACUGAUAUUUUCGGUAUCCCCAUACACCAGACGAGUAAUCAAGUAUAGGAACAAUACAUGAGUUGAAUAAUUUUUCAUAUGAUUUAUAUCCAAAGUCCUUAAUAUUAUGGAUUUUAGCAAUUAUAUUCCCAAGUGCUCGUCCGCCACUUUUCGCAAGAAGAUCCACAUUCGCUAAAAAAACUGCCGUUGUAGCUAA